UCGGAAUUACUGGGCGUAAAGGGCGUGCAGGCGGUUUGUUAAGUCUAGGGUGAAAGCUCCCGGCUCAACUGGGAGAGGUCCUUGGAUACUGGCGAACUUGAGGGAUGCAGAGGAAAGUGGAAUUCCCGGUGUAGUGGUGAUAUGCGUAGAUAUCGGGAGGAACACCCGUGGCGAAGGCGGCUCUCUGGGCCUGUACUGACGCUGAGGAACGAAAGCGUGGGGAGCGAACAGG
rnacentral:rRNA from 1 species